rnacentral:rRNA from 1 species
CGGAUUGGAGUCUGCAACCCGACUCCAUGAAGCUGGAUUCGCUAGUAAUCGCGCAUCAGCCACGGCGCGGUGAAUACGUUCCCGGGCCUUGUACACACCGCCCGUCAAGCCAUGGAAGCCGGGAGUGCCUGAAGUGCGUGACCGCAAGGAGCGUCCUAAGGCAAUACCGGUGACUGGGGCUAAGUCGUAACAAGGUAUC